GCUACUCCGUUGAAUUGGACAUUAUUAGGGCUUGCAUCACAUAUCUUUAUUACUAUGUAUUAAGUGAAACAAUUUGAUUACAGGGCUCUCUGUCUUUAGGCAAUUCAAAGCAAAACUGCAAUAACCAUUACACUAAAGAGGAAUGGCUUAUUCUGCUCUUUCUUCACUUAUGUACACACUGCAGCGACUUUUACAACCUAACACACAUUUGGUUUGUGGAAGCCUAAGAUUUAUACAACAACACCAUGUCGAAUCUUCCUAUAAAAGUCUAUCUGCACUGCAAGUUUUUCUUGAGAAUACUACAAAGGAAAUUAAAGAUACUGAAACUUUGAAGGUUAUAGAAAAGAGGAUCAGAGAUGUAAUUUACAAAGUAGAAUAUAGAGUCGAUUCGAGCCUAAGAAUCAUCAUUCUAGCAGAUACCAGAGACGAUCAAGAAGAGGCUUGUAAAUCCUUCAAUGAAGAAUUGCAACAAGUGGAAAAAGAAGUUGAUCUUCUUAGGGAAGAGGUGAUGCAGAUCGAGUUUAACGAGCACCGAAGCAAAUAUGCCGAAGCAAAAGCUUGUUCCUCAUCGAGAAGGUAUGCAACUGAACACAAUACUGUUGUUGGAAUGGAGGAUGACUUUAAUUACAUAAUAAAUCGCCUCAUUGCCCAAACAGAUGAGCUAACUGUCAUAUCAAUUGUUGGUAUGGGCGGUAUAGGUAAGUCAACUCUCGCUAGAAAAGUUUAUGAUGAUCCGUUAAUUCGACAUCGAUUUGAUACACAUGUAUGGGUCACUGUCUCUGAAAACUACAAUGAGAGACAAGUGCUACUUGAUGUUGUCUCUUCAAUUAAUCGGAAUAAGACUGACGAAAGCAGUCAACAAGUGAGCAAUGAUCAACUAGCGGAGAUUGUGUAUAAAAGUCUGAAGGGUUGGAGGUUUCUAAUUGUCAUAGAUGAUCUCUGGACUACUGAGGCUUGGGACCAGAUACAAAGAUCAUUUCCAAAUGAUAACAAGAAAAGUCGGAUUCUAUUAACCACGCGACUCAAAUAUGUUGCUGAUUAUGUAAGCUGCUCUGAUUUUCCUCCUCAUAAUAUGUCUUUUCUAAGUUUAGAAGAUAGUUGGAAUCUGUUUACCGAAAGAGUAUUCAGAAAAGAUCCCUGUCCUCCACAACUGGAGGAAAUAGGGAAGCAUAUUACACGACAAUGUCAAGGUUUACCUCUCUCGAUUGUUGUCGUUGCUGGAUUUCUUGCCAAGGUGGAUCCCACACAUUAUAAUUGGAAGGAAGUUCAGGGAAAUUUGAACUCAUUCUUUGGUACGGUUUCUGAACAGUGUCAAGCAAUUCUUUCGUUGAGCUACAGUUUCUUGCCCCAAUAUUUGAAGGCGUGUUUUAUCUAUGUUGGAUGUUUUCCUGAAGAUAUGGAGAUUGGUGUUUCAAAGUUGACUCGCUUAUGGAUUGCUGAGCAAUUCAUAAAGGCAAGAAGCGAUGAAAUGAUAGAAGUGGUGGCAGAGGAGUAUCUAGAAGAGUUAAUUGAUAGGAGUCUAAUUUUGGUUGGUAGAAGAAGGGCUAACGGAAGGAUUAAAACUUGUAAAAUUCAUGAUGUCAUUCGACAACUAUGUAUAAGACAAGCUCAAAUUGAAAAUAUCGUGCAUUUCAUGGAUAAGCCUGCCAUUGCUUCAGAAGGCUUAAAUGAUCAACGAGGAGUGAUUAUUGCACAUAAUAUCUAUUCGAGCUAUGAUUAUUUUCUAGAGCAUGGGAGUGGUAUUACAAGCACGACCCGCUGCUUGGUCUUUCCAGGAUUAUUUUCAUUUGCAGAAGUUCGUGGUUCCGUUAUUUCACAUUUCAAGCUGCUUAAGGUGUUGGAUGCAUUUUCAAUCAUUCAUGUGAAUGAUUCAAUCAGUUAUGAUUUCUCCUGUGUAAUACCUCAGCUUGUACAUUUGAGAUAUGUUGCUGCAAGAAUUGAUGAAGCUUCUUCACUAGCCAAAUUGUGGAACCUACAGACCAUAAUAUUGAAAGGCAGAGCGGUGCAGGUACCACUAGAGAUGUGGAAAAUGUCAGAGCUAAGACAUCUCGAUAUCAGAUGGUCAAAUCGAAUACCUAAUCCUCUUGAGGCAGAAAAUUAUGGUAUUGGUGAACAACCUUUGUUUCUCAAUAACUUGCAAAAACUUGCUCUACAUUCCUCUCCUUUUCUUGCAGAAAUCCUACAAAGAACUCCCAAUCUGAAUAAGCUAAAGAUUAGAGACGCAUCCAAUACUGAGUGGUCUGCCAUUCUUGAUUGUCUCAAUCUUCUACAGGAGCUUGAGACACUACAUAUAGUGACAAACGGUGAUCCAAUCAUUCUGUUUCGGCGUAUUUUCCUGCCUAGUCUCAAGCAAUUGACCUUAGUUAAUACUUAUUUUCCAUGGGAAGAUAUUGUUGUGCUGGCUAAUUUACCCAAUCUUGAGGUGCUCAAAGCACAACGUGGAUUUUGGGGAACAGAUUGGAGACUAAAUGCAGAUGAUGUGUUUCGAAAAUUAAAACAUCUACGAUUGAGUAAUGGAGGUCUGAAAAGAUGGGAAGCAUCUGACAAUAAUUUUCCGAUGCUUGAGCAACUAGUCCUCGAACGGAUGUAUGACUUGGAGGAGAUUCCCCAGAGUAUUGGAGAAAUACCGACGCUAAAAUUAAUCCGUGUAGAAAAAUGCGGCCCUGUAGUCGAGGCUAUUGCAAAGAAGAUUCAAGAAGAGCAAGAAAGCUGGGGAAAUUAUGAGCUUCAAGUUCGAAUUGACCAGUUUUGAAAAUUAGACCUUGGGGAGCCCGAGGCGUAGAUUGGGAUUGACUUUAGGCUGGCUAUCUUGGAGUGCGUUCGAGGUACAGACGCACAGUUUGGUGAUCCACCGGUUUAGGACACCCCUUUUUGCUGUUGGAGUGCUCUUCUCCUUUCAGAGCAUAUCUUUUGGUAUAUAUUUUUGUUCGCUAUGUAUGUAUAUAUUUGUUCAGGGGUACGGCGGGGCCCUGUCCCGCCAUAUGAUUCGUUUGGUCUGUUUAGAGGUCUGUAGACGUAUUUGUGGGUGUGUGUGCCUACUUCUGUAUAGAUGUGUUUGCAUGACCCUAUUCGUUAUGGCAGCCUUGUCGGUGGGCACUUUGUAUAUGUUUUGGGCCGUUGUGCCAUUUGAUAGCCUUGUCGGCUUUCGAUACAUUUGAUAGCCUUGCCGGCCUUUUGAUAUAUAUAUCCGCAUACGGUUGCGUUGA